UAAUAAGAAGCGAAUUAAUUGCACUCAGUUUCGACCUGAAUUUUGGUAUUUAUCAACCCUUAUUUU
rnacentral:tRNA from 1 species